rnacentral:rRNA from 1 species
UACGUAGGUGGCAAGCGUUGUCCGGAUUUACUGGGCGUAAAGAGCGCGCAGGCGGUCGAAUAAGUCGAAUGUGAAAGCCCCCGGCUUAACUGGGGAGGGUCAUUCGAUACUGCUCGACUUGAAGGCAGGAGAGGGAAGUGGAAUUCCCGGUGUAGUGGUGAAAUGCGUAGAUAUCGGGAGGAACACCAGUGGCGAAGGCGACUUCCUGGCCUGUUCUUGACGCUGAGGCGCGAAAGCUAGGGGAGCAAACGGG